rnacentral:rRNA from 1 species
UACGUAGGGUGCGAGCGUUGUCCGGAAUUACUGGGCGUAAAGAGCUCGUAGGUGGUUUGUCGCGUUGUUCGUGAAAACCUGAGGCUUAACCUUGGGCGUGCGGGCGAUACGGGCAGACUGGAGUACUGCAGGGGAGACUGGAAUUCCUGGUGUAGCGGUGGAAUGCGCAGAUAUCGGGAGGAACACCAGUGGCGAAGGCGGCGAUCUGGGAAGAUACUGACGCUGAGGUGCGAAAGCGUGGGGAGCAAACAGG